rnacentral:rRNA from 1 species
ACGAACCGUCCAAACGUUAUUCGGAAUUACUGGGCUUAAAGGGUGCGUAGGCGGUCCGAUAAGUUGGGUGUGAAAGCCCUCGGCUCAACCGAGGAAUAGCGCCCAAAACUGUUGGACUUGAGUAAGGCAGAGGUGAACGGAACUUAGGGUGGAGCGGUGAAAUGCGUUGAUAUCCUAAGGAACACCAGUAGCGAAAGCGGUUCACUGGGCCUUUACUGACGCUGAGGCACGAAAGCCAGGGGAGCGAACGG